UGAAUAGAUAGGUUAAUGGGGCUGCAAUCGUUUUAUAAGAAGGUGGUUUCUUGCGUUGGCGUUAGUUGACGAUCAAAGUAGUAGCCAUGAAGACCUUUAUUGUUGUUUUGUUGUCGUGCAUUGUUUUCGCAGCAGCUUUCGAUGCUUCGAAACAAGAUAUUCCACUUCCAAGAAACGAAGAAUGUGCAUCAACAUGCUUAUGGGCUGGAGUAUACAAUGUGCCAAGUUUCCAAAGCUGUACCCGGUAUCUUCAUUGUGUCCAUGGUUUCCUUUUUGAACUUGAGUGCGAAAAUGGUGAGGAAUUUGAUCACUUGACUCUACUCUGUCAACCAGCUGAUGAAGGUCGUUGCGUACUUGAGGGUCCAAUUACAUCAUCUGAAGAGACCUCUGAAGGAACUUCUGAAGAAUCUAACUAAGGUGUAGCAUUGUACUAAAUGAUUUUUGAUUAAAUUAAAAACUCAACCUCUACCAAAC